ACCAGGUUCGUGGUGGUGCGGUGCAGGAAGUCCGCGCGGGCGUGCCGGACCUUGCGGUGCGCGCGGGCCACCUUGCGCUUGGCUUUGCGCCGGUUCGCGCUGCCCUUCUGCUUGCGGGCCAUGCGCCGCUGGUAGCGGGCGAGGUUGCGGGCCUUGCGGUCCAGGUGCUUCGGAUUGGCGAUGGUCUCGCCGGUAGACAGCACCGCGAAGUCUUUCACCCCGAGAUCGAUACCGAUGGAUUCGCCGGUCGGCGCGGCCGGUUCGGAAUCGUCGGUGUCCACGGCGAACGUCACGUACCAGCGCCCGUCCGGCUCACGGGAGACGAUGACCGUCGUGGGGUUGAUUGUGGCCGGGUCGAUGCCGGGCCACGACCACACGAACCGCAAUGGAGUCGACUGCUUCGCCAACGUCAACUGCCCGUUACGCAGCUUGAAGGCACUGCGGGUGUAGUGCGCCGACUGCUUGCCGGUGCGGUUCUUGAACCGCGGAUACUUCGCCCGUCCGGCGAAGAAGUUCUGGUACGCGGUGUGCUGGUGCCGCAGCGUCUGCUGCAACGGCACCGACGACACUUCCGACAGGAACGCCAGCUCAUCGG
rnacentral:antisense_RNA from 1 species